rnacentral:rRNA from 1 species
GUCGAGCGGAUGAAGGGUGCUUGCACCCUGAUUCAGCGGCGGACGGGUGAGUAAUGCCUAGGAAUCUGCCUGGUAGUGGGGGACAACGUUUCGAAAGGAACGCUAAUACCGCAUACGUCCUACGGGAGAAAGCAGGGGACCUUCGGGCCUUGCGCUAUCAGAUGAGCCUAGGUCGGAUUAGCUAGUUGGUGGGGUAAAGGCUCACCAAGGCGACGAUCCGUAACUGGUCUGAGAGGAUGAUCAGUCACACUGGAACUGAGACACGGUCCAGACUCCUACGGGAGGCAGCAGUGGGGAAUAUUGGACAAUGGGCGAAAGCCUGAUCCAGCCAUGCCGCGUGUGUGAAGAAGGUCUUCGGAUUGUAAAGCACUUUAAGUUGGGAGGAAGGGCAUUAACCUAAUACGUUAGUGUUUUGACGUUACCGACAGAAUAAGCACCGGCUAACUUCGUGCCAGCAGCCGCGGUAAUACGAAGGGUGCAAGCGUUAAUCGGAAUUACUGGGCGUAAAGCGCGCGUAGGUGGUUCAGCAAGUUGGAUGUGAAAGCCCCGGGCUCAACCUGGGAACUGCAUCCAAAACUACUGAGCUAGAGUAUGGUAGAGGGUGGUGGAAUUUC